GCGCAGCACUUGGCCCGCUGUUAGCUGGACUUCUGUCUGCAGGCGGCUGGGAUCAGGUCUUCUACAUGCUGAUGACUGCUGACUUUCUUGCUCUGUUGCUUUUGCUACGGCUCGUGACAAAGGAGCUGGCCUCAUCUAAAUCCCAUCCUAUCUCCACUGUAGAGUUGAAGGAACACUGAGCACUUUGAUUGCACUGCGUACACACAUACACGCAGAGUGCAAUGAAACCACUUAAGGCUGAUAUGGAUUGUGACUGGACUGUCCUGACAGAUGAAACUGAUUGUUAAUAAACCAGCGUAUAUGCUUGUGUGCGCCUACAAUCAUGCUGCAGUGCUUUACUGAUGAAGACCUAUGACUGAAGUUGCAGCUGCUGCGCUGAGCAAGCAGCGCGGCACACAGUUUAAAAGUCUCAUGUGCACUUACUGUACUUGCAUAACUUCCCAAUGUCCCUCUUAGCCCUUGAAUUCAGUUUGAACUUGAUGACUGGUAUGUCUUGCUGCUCACUUGUAUGUUGGAACUUUUUCAACCUUACCUGUCCAAUUAAUUUAAGGGGCUAUUUGUAAUUUUGUGCCUUUUACAGUGGUACCUAGCUUUGAUAGUUGUUUUUUAAAGCUAUCAAUCACAGAAUUAAGAGCUUCAUCAAAGCUGGGGUCGUUGCCAGGACUAAAAUAACGUCAGACCUGCUACAAAAACAGCAAACAUGCAUACUUUACUUCCUGUGUAGUUCUGUAGCAAAUAGAAAGAAAACACAGAAAACAUACAUGAUAGAGUCUCAGGUAACACUGUACUCGCCCAGGACUUCAUGAUAAAUAGCACUUUAACGAUUGUAGUUCUGCCAAUUAGAACCACUAAAACUGGAAACACCACAGGUUGCUAGGUCUUUGUGUCCUUACUGUCUUUUUUGUAUGAAUAGUGUUUUAUAUUGUUGGUGUUUGUAUUGGCAAAAUUUUCAUACAGUUCAUUUAUUUGGUGCCAUGUGAGCUGUCUGUCACAGUUUGAGGCUUAUGAGGAGGACUCUAUGCCCAUACUGAUAUUUUUAUUUUUAUUGUUGUACUGGGAUAAAUUCAUAUACCUCUACCCAAAACCUGGACAGAACCACUUCUUAAUAUCGUGCCUAGAGCUGUUAACUUUUUUGAAACAUGAACUUAAUCUGAUAGCAGUCAUCUGGAAAAAGUGAUGCAGAACUAAUUCCAUCAUAUCUGUUGAAGAGAAGAAGGAACACAAAGACCAGCUCGUUGAACCAAAGAGAUGAUGGGAUUGGUUUCGUUUACAUGUGUAUUUAUUUUGAAAAUCAUUUUUGUUUCCUUUUCCAUUGUCCUGUGGUAGUU